rnacentral:lncRNA from 1 species
AUGUAAAUCCUAACAUUAAUCAGCAUAUUUAAUAUCAAACGUUAAUAAUAAAUAAUAAUGAAUAAAUACAUUAAUAUAAUUACUAUAUUAUUAAACAAUUUAAUAAAAGACCUUGACAAAAUUACCAACUAACUAAGGGUGAAGCUGAACAGCUAAAAGCUAAAUAGUAUAACAAAAAUGUAAUACCACAGUCAUUAGUGAUGAUAGAAACCGUUUUAGUUUUACCGCGCUUUCACUAACAAUAUUUGACAAGAGAAUCCAGUGGUUCUCAAAAUGCAUUAAAGACGUUAGGCAAUAAAUAUGCAAAAAUGCACAAUGUGAUAUCAAUAAAGGGCGUAAAAAAAAUAUUAUGUAAGUAAUAGCAUAACGUUACACUAACCGGCCGAAACAGUCUCUUUGUAACCUGAUUAAUAAUAAAUGCAUACUAAUUAGAAAUAAUUUUAUUUCACCAAAUGAUAGCUUGUGAAAUCUACUUUCAGACAGUAUAGUCCGGCUAAGGGUUCCUCUGGCCGGUUAGAUAUCGAAUAUCCUAAUCAAAAUGAUGCGGUCUAUUGUUUAUAUUAUACCUAUGGUGACCAGAUAUAAAAAUCCAAAAAAAAAUACAUUUUAAAAUUUAGGUCCCUUAUUGUAAAAACACCCUUCCCUUGAAAGAAUUGGCCAAUGUGUGUUGUAUGUACUAUUCUACCUAUUCUGCCCAUAGUUUAUCUCCAUCUUUAUACAUUUUUGUUUUAUCUGAUUACUCUAUUUUUUUUUUUUUUUAUUAUCAACUAUUAAAACUAAUGAUUUGAAAUCAUAAUGUCGACUUAUUUUAUUUGUCUAUAUGAAAAUACUUUAAAAUUUAAAUAAUUUUAAUUCUUCUUAAAGUACACAAGUAUAACUAAAAUAUACAUAUUAAAAUCAAUUUUUUAAGGUAGACAUUUAAAUAAAUAAACAUAAAACUUUAUUAAUAUUUGUUUCCUUCAUAUUUAUAUUUAUUUAUUAUUUAUAAUUUUCAAAACAAAGAGUACAAUUUCAUGUACUUAAAAUUAUUGUUAAGGACAUAGAAUAAUACAUCAAAACAGAGUAUUGUGCUACGAAAAAGUGUACAUCUAGUCACCAUAAUUAUACUGAAUGCAUGAUGAGAAGCCAAAACAAAUUAUUAUUUUUGAUACUAAUUUCGAUCCAAUGGUGUAUAGAAUAAAACUGAAAUAAUUCCUUUUAGAAAACUAUGAUUUUAUGAGAGAUAUUUGUAUAUACUUUAAAAAUUCAGAUUCACGGCAUAAAAAAAUUAAAGAAAAUAAUUUUACUUGGGUACAAUGUGGUAUAUAUAUUAGAUGGAUAAUAGUAGAUUGUGUGAAAAAAAUUGAAAACAAAUUAGAUUGAAUCAAUGAUCAUUUUGAAUGCUUGUUGUGUAAAUCAUAUAUGGAAAGGUAUGUUUCAUAUUUUAAAUAAUUUAAUGUGUAUUGUUUUUAUCUAUUUUAAACCCUGUUUGUUUUUAUUUGUAAUUACAUGUUUUUUAAUCUGGAAGAUAGUAGAAAGAAGGAGAAAAAUAAAAUAGAGAUAGAAACUAAGGUGGUAAAGAAAUCUGCAUGAUGCUUGAUAGUUGAUUUAUAUAUGUAUCUUUAAUACUGAUAACAUAAUUUAAACGAGAUAAUGAGAUAUUAAUGACAUAACUAUUUAAUUGGUUGGUGAAAUAAUAUGAAAAACUAAAAAGUAUAAUUAUAUCUAGUAACAAAUUAAAUAUUAUCUACAAAACAAAUUAUAAAACUAGGUAAAAAUACAUUAGUAUUAAUAUUAUUAUAUUGUAAAAGUAAAAAGGAAAAUUUGUAUUUUUAGAUGACAAUCAAGCAAUAAUUUUAUUAACCUUUGCAAAGUAUUCAUAAAAACUUUAUGAUGUAUUUAAGUUGGACAAUUUGAACCAAUAUUCCUAAAACAAAUAAACUAAUUAUUACAUAAUAGGUAGGUACUUAUGUUUUACUUACAUAGUUUGAUGUAUUAAGAACAUACAAUGAUAAGUAAUUGGUAUCGAUUUACCAUCUGGUAAAUUGGUGAAAUAGUGCUGGAAAUUGUAACCAGUUCAAUUAUUUUUGUAAUGAAUUUCAAUAUUACAUGUUGUAUUCAAAUGUAGGUAUCUUAUUAUAGAAUUAAUUUUUUUGUUUAGGUCAAAAACCUAUAUUGUUGGUGGAUCAUCAUUCAGUAAACUUAAAAAGUUUUAAAUUAAAAAACAGUUUAAAUGGUUAGGCCGAAAAAAUAAUUGAGUUUUGCAACAACAAGCCUGGCUGAUUUUGUAAAAAGUAAUUAUGAUUUUAUAUUAUAUUAAAUAUUUGUGGUAUUUUAUAAAAAGGGCAAUUUUUAAUAGCUUUAUUAUUCUAAGUUAUACAGAUCUAUACAACAUAGAAUACUCAUUGUUUUUAUUACACAAAUAUUAUAAUCUUAUACCAAGAAAAAAUAAUAUUAUAAUAAUACUGGUGUUACACAAUUUCUCUUCAAUGCUUAUAUCAAUUAGUUUAUUAUAGUUAAUAAGAAAUUAUUUUGGAGGGCUACAGAUUAUUUGUUUGUUCUUUGUUAACUAUUUCUCUAAUUGUAUUUCAAACUUGUUUAAUAUUCCCAGUGUUGUUUUAAAUUUAAAUUUUAUAAUAUUUAUUUUUAGUGAAUCAUAUUAGUAAACAUAAUUUAUUUUUAUAUUUUUUGUAAUAUUUACAUACUGUGAUGUCAUUCUAUUCAUUUUAAUACCUACCAUUUUACCUAAUUUAUCUUUAGUUCUAAUUGAUUAAAUUCAUUUAAAUUCAAAUAUUCCGAUUUAGUAUUAUCUUUACUACUUGGUAGUAUUGAUAUUUAUAUCUUCUGUUACUAUGACUUUAUUAACUGAAUAAUAUUUGAUAAUAUUUUAGUUAUGAAUUUUAAAUUCUGAAAAUUUUUUAUUAUGACGUCUAUAAAGUACUAUUAUUAAAUGAGUAGUCUCUCUAGUAUUAAUGUUAAGUUAUAAACAAUUACAGUUAUCAAUAACAAUCUCAUUCCCACAGUUAACUUUAUGCUUAAUAUUAAUAUAUACAAUUAAACCACUAUUUUAGUUAAAAUUAUUACUAUAAGCUUUAUAUAAUUUAAAACUUUAUAUUAAUUAGACAACUUCCGAGCCAACACUCAGAUAAGACCAUAGGUAUAAUCAAUAUAUUAUAUAUUAUCUAACAUGGGUAACUAAUAAUUGAUUAAACAUUUUUUGAAUUGAUCUUAUGUUAAUAAGGAAUAUUGUAAAGACUUUAAAACUAAUUACUAAUGCAUUAAUGGUGUUUAUAUCCGGGAAAAAGAAUUAUUAUUGAAAUUUCUGAGAUUUAUAAUUUGAUGACAAUUUGUGUGGUACUUAUAGAUUAUCCUAAUCUUUUUCAUUUCUGAUUUGAUACUCUGAAUUGUUUGUUCUUGCGUACAAGGAUAUCUGAACUAUUUGUCCCCACAAAUUAAAUCCUUUGUCAUUUGCAAUUUUUUUCAAUUAUUAAAUUGAAUUAUUUUAUAUUUAGUCUAGUGGUCAUUGUAUGUCAUUAUAUAUGUUUAUAAUUUGUAUAAACAUUAAUAAUAAUUUUAAAUGUGAUAUAUAAUAAUCGUUGAAAAAAAAAUAUAUUGUUUCAUUAUAGGUGGAGUAAAAAUUAAGUUAAUAGAAGAAAUAGACAAACAUUUAGAAAGUGUUGCUGGUACUUGGCCUUAAGUCAAAGAAAGAAUAAAAUAUAUAAGUACAACUUGUAAUUUAUAAUUAUAAAUAUUACUAUAUUUUAAUAUUAAUGUUAAUUUUUUUAAUAAAAAGAGCGGGUAUUUUUUUAUUAUAAAAUAUAUUUUGUAUUAUAUUAUGGGUAAGUAAUUAUGUAUUAUAUAUUGUUAUAAUAUUUUAAUAUUUUUCAGUAAAGGUAUGACUAUUGAUCUUGACUAUAAAAUAUAAAUGUUAAAUAAAUUUCCAAUAAAAAAGACAAACUUUUCUUUAUAUUAUAAAAUAUAUUUUAUUUUAUAUUUAUAAUUUGUAUUAUACUAUUGAUACUGUAGAAGAUAAUUUUUUUUUUCCAUAAAGGAAUGACUUUUAAUUUUAAA